rnacentral:rRNA from 1 species
UACGUAGGGUCCGAGCGUUGUCCGGAAUUAUUGGGCGUAAAGGGCUCGUAGGCGGUUUGCCACGUCGGGAGUGAAAACUUGGGGCUUAACCCCAUUCGUGCUUCCGAUACGGGCAGACUAGAGGCAGGCAGGGGAGAACGGAAUUCCUGGUGUAGCGGUGGAAUGCGCAGAUAUCAGGAGGAACACCGGUGGCGAAGGCGGGUCUCUGGGCCGUGA